rnacentral:rRNA from 1 species
GAUGAACGCUGGCGGCGUGCCUAAUACAUGCAAGUCGAGCGAACAGACGAGGAGCUUGCUCCUCUGACGUUAGCGGCGGACGGGUGAGUAACACGUGUAUAACCUACCUAUAAGACUGGGAUAACUUCGGGAAACCGGAGCUAAUACCGGAUAAUAUAUUGAACCGCAUGGUUCAAUAGUGAAAGACGGUUUUGCUGUCACUUAUAGAUGGAUCCGCGCCGCAUUAGCUAGUUGGUAAGGUAACGGCUUACCAAGGGGACGAUGCGUAGCCGACCUGAGAGGGUGAUCGGCCACACUGGAGCUGAGACACGCUCCAGACUCCUACGGGAGGCAGCAGUAGGGAAUCUGCCGCAAUGGGCGAGCGCAUGACAGAGCGACGCCGCGUGAGUGAUGAAAAUCUUCGGAUCGUGAAACUCUGUUAUGAGGGAAGAACAGAUGUGUAAGUAACUAUGCACGUCUUGACGGUACCUAGUCAGAAAGCCACGGCUAACUACGUG